rnacentral:tRNA from 1 species
AGUGGCCUAGUGGUUAACACACGGCCUGGUAACCCAGGGGUCGUGGGUUUGAGACCGG